CUCAAAAGGAACCCUGAAAACUUCUGUGGAGUUGCUUAAGAUGUUCAUUAGCGCAACAAAAUCUGUUUUUUUUCUAUGAAGCUUAUUGUCCUUUUUCCUUUUCUAGAUGCUCAUUACAGGGUAUUAGAAGGGAAAGCUAUUACCAUAGCAUGGGUUCAUAUUUUGGCUUACUAAUGCAUGAAGUACUUUUGCUUCAUUAUUUAAGUAAUACUUUCACUGUAACCAAUGGAAAUCUUGGCCAAGUCUGGAGUAAAUGAAUUACUCUAGCUAAAUAUAUCAUGUUGGUUAGGGCCAGGGGAAUUAUAUAGCUAAGAUUUGUCUCUUACUUUUACAUCUGGGUUUCAACACUCGUCAGAUUAUGAGUUUUUUGUUGUUGUUGAGGAAUGUGUCUCUUACUCUGUAAAGAUUUGCUCCAGCUAAAGUAGCUUGAAAUCCAUGGACUUUAGUUGAAUAGGAGCAGGCCUUGAAACCUUUCAGGAAUUUCAUACUGCUGAUAUUUUCUCAUAGAUGUGCUUUUUAAAAAAAAAUUUUUAGAUCUUACAACCAUGUAUACAAGGAUGCUCUGGAUGAGAACGACAUCUAUUGCCAAUUAUGGAGAAACAAACACCAGGAUUUCGAAGGGAUUAACAGAGAAUGAAAAAGUAUCGACUUGAUCAACUUGAUUUCUUUGAAGCGAGUAGCUAAGCUUCUGUUUUUGUGAGCUGAGCUGGUUUCUUUGCCAUCUGCACGAAGUUGGAAGUGAAGAUAAAAUACACUUUCAAAUAAAUGUGGUCAAAUAGUAGUUCUGGGAAUUUCUCCUUUAAAAUAAAAAAGUAUCACAGUUAAAACAUACAUCUUUUUAUCUGAAAUAUCUGUAGGUAAAGGCAAGACUGAAUUUUUUUUUUUCUUUUAAUAAAAUCAGUUUUUCAGUCUGUAUUUUGCAGGGGAAGAAUGAUUUAAUUUUCUUCUGCAUCUGUCCAGCAAGAUCAUUUGCAAGUGCUUUGAAUGUGUUUCAUCUAGAGCCUUCUUGUCAGUGUGCUCUUUUGCCCUUUUGUUACUUGAGAGCUCAGGAAGAGCAUAUGCUUAUGCAGCAGAAAUGACUUUGCAAACAGAAAGUACAUCCUGAACUGG
ensembl:lncRNA